CGGGUGAGUAACACGUGGAUAACCUACCUAUAAGACUGGGAUAACUUCGGGAAACCGGAGCUAAUACCGGAUAAUAUAUUGAACCGCAUGGUUCAAUAGUGAAAGACGGUUUUGCUGUCACUUAUAGAUGGAUCCGCGCUGCAUUAGCUAGUUGGUAAGGUAACGGCUUACCAAGGCAACGAUGCGUAGCCGACCUGAGAGGGUGAUCGGCCACACUGAACUGAGACACGGUCCAGACUCCUACGGGAGGCAGCAGCG
rnacentral:rRNA from 1 species